rnacentral:misc_RNA from 1 species
GGUGGAGAUGAGCAAUCUGUCAGACUAGAGGAAAUGAGAAGAACUGCAAUGCCUGAAAGCAGCACAAGAGAUUUUCCCAAAAACAAGAGACCAGAUAAAAAUUCACAGCUUGAAUCUGAAAUAGAGGAAGUAGAAUCCAAGUGGGAGAAAGAUGCUAGAGAAGAAGGAAUCUCUGGAAGCAAGUUAGACCCCAAGAAAAUAUUGCAAAGCAGAAUUAGAUUGGACCACGGCCCUGAUAAAGUUAGGGACAGAUAGCACAAUGACCACUUCUCUCCUUUCUUCUGCACUGUUGCAAUUCCGUUCUUUCUGCAAGAAAUGUUCAAUUUUGGAGUCAGUUUCUCCAUUUGUUUCAGUAUUUAGACUUUAUACCUCUUAGCAGCUUCCAAUUUUAUUUAUUUAUUUAUUUUUAUGAUCAUGAGAUAGACCUGAGUUUAGUUACAGGAGUUGGGAUAUCCUUUGAUCAGACUGGGUUUAUAUUAUAUUUUAGUGUGAAGAUAAAUGCUUAAAAAGUCUGCAAAUUAUGCAAUAAAAAUGUAGUUGAAUUUGAUAAAUAAAAAGAUUGUCUUAUUAAUCUCACUCUUACAAACCUCUUUUCUCUUUAUUUUUAUUUAUCCAGUCAAUAAUGCAACAAUGCAAGCAUAGUUAUUAAAGGCUCAAGGCACACUAAGGCGCCAAGGGGUCGUAGAGCCUAUGAGCAAAGCACAAGGCACAGGCACGCGCCUGAGCGAGAUGAGGUGCAAAAGUAAAAAGAAUUUAGAAAUUCCAAAAAAUUCAAAUAAAUGUG